GCCAGGUGUGGUGGCACACACCUGUAGUCCCAGCUACCAGGGAGGCUGAGGCAGGAGGGUCACUUGAGCCUAGGAGUUCAAGGCUGUGGUGAGCUCUGAUUGUGCCACUGCACUCCAGCCUGGGCAACAGAGUGAGACCCUGUCUGUC
rnacentral:SRP_RNA from 1 species